GCAUGUGCAACAAGUUAGGUUUUUACAAUACAUCGCAGAAGUAAAAUUAAUGAUCAGGCUAGGAAAUUAGGAGGAACAUAAGACCCAGAUUUACGAGUACAAAUUCAAGAGUAUCCAGAGGUUAGGAUGAAGAUGACCAUGGUCAUUGAUUACGGUUCUAAACCUAACUGACAAUUUUUAUAUGUUAAAUUUUGAAGAGCAAGGCGACACCCGAUCAACUACUGUGGAGGCUGCAGUGACUGAAUACUGCUAGGACCAUGCAACACCGGGUCCAACCAGCUAUUUUAGUUCAACAGUUUUAUUUCACUUGUAAGCAAGAGGAUAUUCA